ensembl:lncRNA
AAAAUAGUACGUUUAUUGACGGUUGUACAAAAGAUUCCAAAAUAUUUCACCAUUGCAGUAAAAUGUAAUUUAAAGCUAGUAAGUGCGAUACACUGAGUAAAUGUCACUCAUGAACAGAGUCUAUUAUUUCUUACAAAGUCCUCGAUUAGGAACAGCAGGGAUAAGGUGUGUAUUUUCCGACAUUUGGUAGUAUUAGUUAAAAAGCCCUGGGCCAAUAGGACACAAGUUCCAGGCUCCUCACCUCUCACAUAAGGAUUCUGGCCUGGCCACCCUGGAGCUCAGACUACACGUCCCUAUCAUUUGGUAUCAAAAUCCUCUUCUGUGCCAUGUUGCAUGACUUGGCUUUUGUACUAUAUAUGUAUAUAUAUUUAUGGGGCACAGAGUGAUAAUUGGGUAAAUCCUGUCAAGAGUGGCAUGUUUCAACUCACGAUGUUUUCCAAACCAAACCCCCAGAUCCCUCCAGGUAAGUGGCGAAGCGUGUUUCCCAAGGAGUUCUCCAUUGCUUAAGAGAGAGGUAAGAAUAUUCCAGACAGUGGAUGGUGAUCAGCAGAGAUAGCUCAGGCUGUGGCUCCAAUUCUGUGUGACUUCGGGUCACUGAGAGAGAACCGAGCUGUCGUACCUGCUCCAUAGUUCUGUUUCGACACAAAUACCAUCAGUACACCAAAGCACUGGUUGCAGACUUUCAAUCACCACACAGCUAGCUGCAAAGGGAUUCUGUAGUCAAUAUAAACGGACUUUUCUUUGAUUAAAAAAACCUGGAUAGUUUAGAAAAGUAUAUGUCCUUAGUCGCCACUUAAAACCUAGGUGGCUGAACCUUUGUCAUCUGACCUCUUGUGAUGACCAUCAUCCCCCAGCUGCUAACACUUUAGACUGCACCAGGCCUGAGAGUCAGAUUAUGUCCCCUGGAAGUGUAGCAACCUGACCUGAAAAUGGGGCACCCACGCUUCCCAAUCCAGUCUGUCACUCUGGCAACAGCAGUAGUCACUAUUCACUCCCGAGAAACUCACUCUCGUCAAAAGCUCAGAUAAUCAGAAAAUCUCAACAGUCAGCCGGCUCGGUCUGGCUGCUUGGUGCCUCCCAGUUUAUUCUCUGCUGGCACGUGGCUGGCUUUGGGGAUGACAUUUCUCUUCUAAGCCAGAUGUGGUGGCACACCCUUCCCAGCUCUCAGGACGCCAAGGGUAAACUCAAGGCAGCUGGGGCUACCCAGUGAGACUCUGUUUUUAAAGAAAGUCCCUCUCGUUGACUAGAAGCUCGCUACUCAUGCUCUGGGUUUUGCUCCAUGGGGAGCCAGUCGUUACGAUCCACUGCAAUAAAAGGACGCCAUGAUCAAUUAAUUUCAGCACUCGGACGAUCUGUGUGGCUUCUAACUGACUGCUGUGUUCUGCUUCGUGGGAGGUAAGACGACCAUCUGAUUAGGUGUCACCACUCACGGAUGACAGAACUCCAAAAGCAGAGAGGCCGCUAACCAGCUCCUCCACGUUCUUCAGGCGCUUCUAGAGGAUAUAAAGGAAAACCUGGAAGAAACACUGAGCUUCCUACAGAAACCAGGGACUUCACACUCCAUACCGCACCAAGGGAAGCUGACCAAAAUUAUGUGCGUUCAAAAAAAA